AAAUUGAAGAGUUUGAUCAUGGCUCAGAUUGAAUGCUGGCGGCAGGCCUAACACAUGCAAGUCGAACGGUAACAGGAAACAGCUUGCUGUUUCGCUGACGAGUGGCGGACGGGUGAGUAAUGUCUGGGAAACUGCCUGAUGGAGGGGGAUAACUACUGGAAACGGUAGCUAAUACCGCAUAACGUCGCAAGA
rnacentral:rRNA from 1 species